GAAAAGUUAAGUUAUUGAAAAUAUUACCAAUGAAAUCGGUCUCGAAAACCGGAGUAGGGGCAACUCUACCGGGGGUUCAAAUCCCCCGCUCUCCGCCA
rnacentral:tRNA from 1 species